rnacentral:rRNA from 1 species
GGUAACCUACGGCAGGCUUAAUCAUGCAAGUCGAGGGGCAGCAGGACUGUAGCAAUACAGUUGCUGGCGACCGGCAAACGGGUGCGGAACACGUACGCAACCUUCCUUCAAAUGAGGAAUAGCCUUUCGAAAGAGAGAUUAAUACCUCGUAACAUUUUCUGGUGGCAUCACUGGAUUAUUAUAGCUCCGGCGUUUGAAGAUGGGCGUGCGGCUGAUUAGGUAGUUGGCGGAGUAAUAGCCCACCAAGCCUACGAUCAGUAACUGGUGUGAGAGCACGACCAGUCACACGGGCACUGAGACACGGGCCCGACUCCUACGGGAGGCAGCAGUAAGGAAUAUUGGUCAAUGGACGCAAGUCUGAACCAGCCAUGCCGCGUGGAGGAUGAAGGUCCUCUGGAUUGUAAACUUCUUUUAUCGGAGAAGAAACCCUUAGAUUCUUCUGAGGUUGACGGUACCCGAUGAAUAAGCACCGGCUAACUCCGUGCCAGCAGCCGCGGUAAU